rnacentral:misc_RNA from 1 species
CCCUCGAACCCCUCCGGGGGUACGGCGUUGGGGAUCGGCCGCCCUCCGGCGCGCCGGCCCCGAAAUCUAGUGGCGGUCUCGCUGUAGCCUCCUCUGCGUAGUAAUACACCUCGCACCGGAUCGCAGCCUGGCCACGCCGUAAAACCCCCGACCCCCAUGAGUUUGACCUCGGAUCAGGUAGGAAUACCCGCUGAACUUAA